CCUACGGGUGGCUGCAGUGAGGAAUAUUGGUCAAUGGGCGGAAGCCUGAACCAGCCAAGUAGCGUGCGGGAUGACGGCCCUACGGGUCGUAAACCUCUUUUGCACGGGGAUAACACCCCCCACGUGUGGGGGUCUGCAUGUACCGUAUGAAUAAGGGCCGGCUAACUCCGUGCCAGCAGCCGCGGUAAUACGGAAGGGCCGAGCGUUAUCCGGAUUUAUUGGGUUUAAAGGGUGCGUAGGCGGACGGUCACGUCAGCGUUAAAAGUCCGGGGUUCACCCGCGCCCCGCGGUUGAAACUGGCGGUGUUGAGUGCACAAGAGGCAGGCGGAAUUCGUGGUGUAGCGGUGAAAUGCAUAGAUAUCACGAGGAACCCCGAUUGCGAAGGCAGCAUGCCGGGGUGCGACUGACGCUGAGGCUCGAAGGUGCGGGUAUCGAACAGGAUUAGAUACCCUGGUAGUC
rnacentral:rRNA from 1 species